UACGUAGGGGGCAAGCGUUGUCCGGAUUUAUUGGGCGUAAAGCGCUCGCAGGUGGUUCGUUGCGUCGUGCGUGAAAGACCCCGGCUCAACUGGGGAGGGUCGUGCGAUACGGGCGAACUGGAGGCCAGUAGGGGGAUGCGGAAUUCCGGGUGUAGUGGUGGAAUGCGUAGAGAUCCGGAGGAACACCAGCGGCGAAGGCGGCAUCCUGGACCGGUAUUGACGCUGAGGCGCGAAAGCCAGGGGAGCAAAGCGGG
rnacentral:rRNA from 1 species